GCGGAAAUAGCUCAGUGGUAGAGCAUCGGCUUCCCAAGCCGAGUGUCGCGGGUUCGAAUCCCGUUUUCCGCUCCA
rnacentral:tRNA from 1 species